UUUCUGAAGACCCAUCUGUGCUACAAGAGGUACAUUGAGAGAUGAGUUGUGCCAGACUUAAAGUUGAAUACAUACGAUAAGACAGAUUGCUAUGCACUUGCAAAUCCAUUACUUUGUUUUAUGAGAAAUGCAAAAGGGACCAGCCUGAACUGUCAUAUAAGCCUUUUUAACAUGUAUGGUGAUCUAUUUAGCCUUUUAAGCAUGAUAGGCUAUCCUUAGGUAACUGUUGCAUUAACUGUAUACUCUGUACUGAUUUUUCUCUUUAUGGUAGUGUAAUAGUGCUUGAGGAACUACUUACAUGUUGUCUAUGCAGGAUGGCAUGUGCACUACAUGACUUUGCAUGCACCUAGAUUGGCUCUAAAAGUCCACACAGUUAUUAAAAAACAAAAA